rnacentral:misc_RNA from 1 species
GAUGAAGAACGUAGCGAAAUGCGAUAAGUAAUGUGAAUUGCAGAAUUCAGUGAAUCAUCGAAUCUUUGAACGCACAUUGCGCCCGCCAGUAUUCUGGCGGGCAUGCCUGUUCGAGCGUCAUUACAACCCUCAGGCCCCCGGGCCUGGCGUUGGGGAUCGGCGGAAGCCCCCUGUGGGCACACGCCGUCCCUCAAAUACAGUGGCGGUCCCGCCGCAGCUUCCAUUGCGUAGUAGCUAACACCUCGCAACUGGAGAGCGGCGCGGCCAUGCCGUAAAACACCCAACUUCUGAAUGUUGACCUCGAAUCAGGUAGGAAUACCCGCUGAACUUAAGCAUAUCAAUAAGGGA